GAUAAACGCUGGCGGCGCACAUAAGACAUGCAAGUCGAACGGACUUAACCAUUAGUUUACUAUUGGAGCGGUUAGUGGCGAACGGGUGAGUAACGCGUGAGGAACCUGCCUCAAAGAGGGGGACAACAGUUGGAAACGACUGCUAAUACCGCAUAAGCCCACGGCUCGGCAUCGAGCAGAGGGAAAAGGAGCGAUCCGCUUUGAGAUGGCCUCGCGUCCGAUUAGAUAGUUGGUGGGGUAAUGGCCUACCAAGUCGACGAUCAGUAGCCGGACUGAGAGGUUGAACGGCCACAUUGGGACUGAGACACGGCCCAGACUCCUACGGGAGGCAGCAGUGGGGAAUAUUGCACAAUGGGGGAAACCCUGAUGCAGCGACGCCGCGUGAGCGAAGAAGUAUUUCGGUAUGUAAAGCUCUAUCAGCAGGGAAGAAAAUGACGGUACCUGACUAAGAAGCCCCGGCUAACUACGUG
rnacentral:rRNA from 1 species